rnacentral:rRNA from 1 species
GAUGAACGCUGGCGGCGUGCCUAAUACAUGCAAGUCGAGCGAACAGACGAGGAGCUUGCUCCUCUGACGUUAGCGGCGGACGGGUGAGUAACACGUGGAUAACCUACCUAUAAGACUGGGAUAACUUCGGGAAACCGGAGCUAAUACCGGAUAAUAUAUUGAACCGCAUGGUUCAAUAGUGAAAGACGGUUUUGCUGUCACUUAUAGAUGGAUCCGCGCCGCAUUAGCUAGUUGGUAAGGUACGGGCUUACCAAGGCAACGAUGCGUAGCCGACCUGAGAGGGUGAUCGGCCACACUGGAACUGAGACACGGUCCAGACUCCUACGGGAGGCAGCAGUAGGGAAUCUUCCGCAAUGGGCGAAAGCCUGACGGAGCAACGCCGCGUGAGUGAUGAAGGUCUUCGGAUCGUAAAACUCUGUUAUUAGGGAAGAACAAAUGUGUAAGUAACUAUGCACGUCUUGACGGUACCUAAUCAGAAAGCCACGGCUAACUACGUG